GUGGGGAAUUUUGGACAAUGGGCGCAAGCCUGAUCCAGCAAUGCCGCGUGCAGGAAGAAGGCCUUCGGGUUGUAAACUGCUUUUGUGCGGAACGAAACGGUCCGGGUUAAUACCCUGGGCUAAUGACGGUACCGUAAGAAUAAGCACCGGCUAACUACGUGCCAGCAGCCGCGGUAAUACGUAGGGUGCAAGCGUUAAUCGGAAUUACUGGGCGUAAAGCGUGCGCAGGCGGAUUUGUAAGACAGGCGUGAAAUCCCCGGGCUCAACCUGGGAAUUGCGCUUGUGACUGCAAGGCUGGAGUGCGGCAGAGGGGGAUGGAAUUCCGCGUGUAGCAGUGAAAUGCGUAGAUAUGCGGAGGAACACCGAUGGCGAAGGCAAUCCCCUGGGCCUGCACUGACGCUCAUGCACGAAAGCGUGGGGAGCAAACAGGAUUAGAUACCCCUGUAGUCC
rnacentral:rRNA from 1 species